AUAAAUAGGGGGAGGAGUGAAGGAGAAAAAUGUUCAGCCCUUCUGGUAUUUCAAGAUCACUUAAAAUUAGUGAAAAAAAUUGUUUCCGUGAAGAAAAUCCAAGCCGAGGCGCUUCCGUAACGUUUCCGUGGGUGAUUUCGCAAAGAUUUUCAACCGUUCUUUGUCGUUCGUCGUUCGUUCUUCGUCGUUCUUCGGUCUUCAACCGCUAAGUUCCCGAAAUCAAACUUUUCAAUUCAUUCUAUGUACGCUUGGUGGUCCCCAUUUGUUUCGCGUACUUUUAUUUUCGUUUCAUUUACUUUCCG
rnacentral:lncRNA from 1 species